AGUUAAUGAACUUGUAUAAGUUUAUAUUUUGAAAAUAUAAAAAAGGGGAUUAACCCCCUAUUAACUU
rnacentral:tRNA from 1 species